rnacentral:rRNA from 1 species
CCUACGGGGGGCUGCAGUGGGGAAUAUUGGACAAUGGGGGGAACCCUGAUCCAGCCAUGCCGCGUGUGUGAAGAAGGCCCUCGGGUUGUAAAGCACUUUCAGUGAGGAAGAACGCCUGGUGGUUAAUACCCAUCAGGAAAGACAUCACUCACAGAAGAAGCACCGGCUAACUCCGUGCCAGCAGCCGCGGUAAUACGGAGGGUGCGAGCGUUAAUUGGAAUUACUGGGCGUAAAGCGCGCGUAGGUGGCUUGAUAAGCCGGUUGUGAAAGCCCCGGGCUCAACCUGGGAACGGCAUCCGGAACUGUCAAGCUAGAGUGCAGGAGAGGAAGGUAGAAUUCCCGGUGUAGCGGUGAAAUGCGUAGAGAUCGGGAGGAAUACCAGUGGCGAAGGCGGCCUUCUGGACUGACACUGACACUGAGGUGCGAAAGCGUGGGUAGCAAACAGGAUUAGAUACCCCUGUAGUC